UACGUAGGGUGCAAGCGUUAAUCGGAAUUACUGGGCGUAAAGCGUGCGCAGGCGGUUGUGCAAGUCAGAUGUGAAAUCCCCGGGCUUAACCUGGGAACUGCAUUUGAGACUGCACGGCUAGAGUACGGCAGAGGGGGAUGGAAUUCCGCGUGUAGCAGUGAAAUGCGUAGAUAUGCGGAGGAACACCAAUGGCGAAGGCAGUCCCCUGGGCCUGUACUGACGCUCAUGCACGAAAGCGUGGGGAGCAAACAGG
rnacentral:rRNA from 1 species